UACUGGGGUAUCAAAUUUCAUACCAUUGACUUAUGAAAUACGUUUUAUCGAUCUCCUUAUUUACUUCAUGUCAAUACAAAACUUUGAGCAAAUAAUUUUUUUAAAAAGGUUUUAAAACAAUAUAAAUAUUGUAUAAAUGUAAUUAAAGGGAUUAAAUUUAUCGAACAACAUAAUGAGGAAAUUGUUGCUUCUUACAUUUAUUUAUGUUUUCAUCUCUCUACUCUUACCCGAAGAACAACAUGUAGAUGCAAGAGUGAGCGGCAGCAGGACUAGGGCUAGUAGAUCACGUACAAUAUGACGGAGUGGCUAUGGGGGAUCAAGCGAGGACGGUGGCGGAGGAAACCUAAGUACCGGUGCUAUAGUAGCAAUAGUUAUUGCCAGUAUACUAGUUGUUGCUGUAACUGUAAUUGUUGUCUACUGGUUCUGUAGAUAAUAAGUGUUGUGAUUUAACCUUUCUUACACGGAUUGACAUUGAUAUUUUACUGUGAUACCAAACGUCGUGUUCAAACCGUAAAUAUCAAAUAUCACAAUUUGAACUACGUUAUGUGAUACAAUAUUUUCCCUUAUUUUUUGUAUUUCUUGUUUCUUAUUUGUUGUUCAUAAAUACUCAUACCGUACUACCUUUCUUUAUUAUUUAUUAUAUGCUGUAUAUUUGUGUAAUGACGAGGAACUGUUAUGUUCAAGUCAUAUUGAAUAAUAAAAUCUGUUCUGUUCUGUUUAUUUUAAUUAGGUUAAUUAUACAAAUUUUUGUCUCACUGUUCGUACAACAAUCAACGAAAGAAAGAAUCAAGACGCAGCAUUAGCUUUCAGGCUUUGCUCUCAACUUUGUAUAGUUUUACCAACACAAAUAUAUUCCUAUGAGUGAGCAUGAUUUACAAUUUUGUGUAAAUGCAUAUGAAAAAUAAAUUUUAAUUAAU